GUAGUACUCCCUCUGUUUCAAAAUUUCUGUCUUUGAUUUGUCUACAUACGGAUGUAUCUAUUCAUAUUUUAGUGUUAGAUACAACCGUACCUAGAUAAAUGUAAGACAAAAAAUUUGGAUAGGAGGAAAUACAAU
rnacentral:pre_miRNA from 1 species